AUGCAUCUGUUUGACAGACCUGGAGCAGUUCCUGUCUGCUGCUAAGGUUUCCACUAGAGAUGCAAGAAAAAAGUAUCCUCGCGCCAUCUGUCUCAUUAUGGCAGUCAAGAUUCAAUGGGGGAGUACACGG